CCCACUCUUAUAAUAACAUUUUAAAUUUUAUAUCAUAAUUUUUUUUUCACAAAUUUGUUUCUUAACACACAUAUUUUCCCAAAAACAUAACAUUUCACAAAAACGAAAAGCAAAAUGAGUGAGACGAUUCCGACGACCUAAUCGCACAAUACACCGUCGUUCAAUCCUCCUCCGCUGUUCAAUCUCCUCCGCUACCGUUUAUUCUCCUUCGCCGCUGUUUAAUCUGGAAGCACAAUCCGUCAAUCUCUCGGUUCUUCUGCUUUAAACCCUACUCUGUUGAAGAACCAAAACCCCUCCGCCGUUCUCUGUCGUUCUUUGCAUUUCCAAGAGGAUGAGGAGGGGGACAACCAUGAUAAAGAUACUUGUGGGAAGGUCAUUAUACGUCGUAUUUGUACCAGGUUUACUCCAAGCCAUGUGGCUGCUGCAGCGAUUAGGCGUGUUAUAGAACCGACUUUUUCAGACAAUAUCACUUGCUAUAGUGAUAUCACCCUAGAAAAAGAUAAAACAAUUUGGUUUGAAAGAUUUGGACUUCAUGGGCAUCCCACCACGCGCAACAAAUUAAAACCACAUUUCAUAAAAAAUGAGGCAAAUGUUUGACCGAUAUUCUUACCAAGAUAAGGAAGAAGAAUAAAAAACCCGCGUGGAUGAACACGGAUAGAAGUAUCUCACUGACCGUUGGGAGGAAGAAGAUUUCAAGACGCGCUCAGAACGAAAUAAGAUUAAUCGAGCUUCAAGUAAAGGUGGGGCAGUCGUCCAUACCACGGGUCGUAAAGCUCAUCAUGACAUUACACUUGACAUGCUUGGGAGACCUGUCGAGCCCGGUGAACUUUUUGUGGUCACCCACAAAAAGACGACCGGCGAGUGGGUUGAUCGUCGUUUGGAGAAAACUCAUGUAAGUCAAUAUUUAACUAAAAGCAUGAAAUUAUAACAUAAGAAUAAUCAUAUAGUUCAUAAGAAAAUAAGAAAACAUAUGAUCUGUUAUAUUGGUUAAAGUUGAGGUAUGAUUUGUUCGUAAGAAUGAACAAAUAGUUCACUGAAAUAAAUAUGUAUAUGUUCAGAUUUUGUAGAGAAAAAUAGUCAGAAGUAGGCCUUGAUUUGUGCAAACUGCAAUCCUCUUUGCUUUUGCAAAAAAAGAAAAAAAACAAGUGCCAAAACUUGAAAGUGCAUAAUUAUUUUAGAUUGGUCGAUACUACCAUUAGCAAGAAUUAUAUAUAUUGUGAAAUGAGAUAUAAGGUAUAAUAGUUGAAACUUAAUAUAAAAACAUUGUUGAAGGCUUCAUGGGGCUGUUUUGUAUCAUGUCAAAUGAAUUUCAAGAGACUUUUGUUGCUGCAGUUUCAAUGCUUUAGUGUGGGUGGUUAUAUGCUAAUGAUUUCUUGCUUCAAUGCUUCUUGUGUUAUGUUUUCUAUUAUCAUCUUGGAAGUAACAGAGAUAUUUCUGUUGCAUCUGAAAUGAUAUUUGCUGCCAUGUGAUUGUGGCAUUUCCUUUUUUCUUUAUUUCCUUGUAUAUAUCUUUAUACAUUAUUGAUUUGAGAUGCAACAAUUAUAAUCAUGUUCAAUGUUAA